rnacentral:lncRNA from 1 species
UGGAUUCUCUCCCUACCACCUCCAGGUAAAUCAGGUAACUUCACCGAGGUCGCUCUGGUUCAGUAUCAAAGCACAGCAUAGCCUGGAGGAGGGGAACCUCUCCUGACCCCACCAAGUUUCUUCUUGAGCUUGUCAGGCUUCCCACAGUCAGGGAAGCAUAUCUGUGCAUACAACAGCAUUUUUUUUACUUCAGCUUUCCACUCUUGGCUUUGUGUCGUUGGCCAAGGAGCUGCCUUUACUGCAGCUAACAGCAUCGAGGUGGGUAGGAUCUCUUCAGGAGACAGAGAAAAGGGCAUAUAGCAAAGGGCUGGGGAAGGGGGAAGCAGGUGGAUGCUGUACGGGCAUCGCUUCAGCCCAGCCGAGCCCGUCAGGUCAUGUCAAAUGGAGCUAAUAUAAAUGUCAGCAUGCUGUUUCAGUGGUGAAAUCUCUGUUUGUUGCAACGCAGUUCAUUUUCAGUCUUCCAGCUCUACGGACGCUAUCAGCUGACAAGUCUGGCCAGUACCCUCUGCCAAAAACACACGCACGCUCAACGUUCCUCAGGAGUUCCCCCCCACAUCCCACCCUGUGACAUACUUCUGUCAGAUUUCUUCUGAGCACUGUCCACACCUUCCAGAUAAUGAGUUUAACAUUUCAAGAACAGAAGCUCUCAAUCUGAGCAAGACGAGGGAAAGAUCUGCAGCCUUGAUUUGGGGAAGGUGCCAACCCACCCUGUGCUCUCUGAAACUCCUUUGGCAUCCUCCUGAUUUAAGGCUCUGCUCCUUGCUGGCUGCAAGGUCCUCUGUUCAUCCCCUCAAGGCUGCAGCAGUGGCACAUCCAGGCAGCUGUCUGCCUUCUGGAAGAGCUCCAUUUACCUGCAAUGAUGUCAGUGUUUGCAUCAAGGAAAAGGUGAGGGGUCCAUCACCUAAUAGCUGA